GACGAACGCUGGCGGCGUGCUUAACACAUGCAAGUCGAGCGGUAAGGCCCUUUCGGGGGUACACGAGCGGCGAACGGGUGAGUAACACGUGGGUGACCUGCCUUUAGCUCUGGGAUAAGCCUGGGAAACUGGGUCUAAUACCGGAUAUGACCCUAUGGCGUCAUGUUGUGGGGUGGAAAGCCUUGUGCGGCUAGGGAUGGGCCCGCGGCCUAUCAGCUUGUUGGUGGGGUGAUGGCCUACCAAGGCGACGACGGGUAGCCGGCCUGAGAGGGCGACCGGCCACACUGGGACUGAGACACGGCCCAGACUCCUACGGGAGGCAGCAGUGGGGAAUCUUGCGCAAUGGGCGAAAGCCUGACGCAGCGACGCCGCGUGAGGGAUGACGGCCU
rnacentral:rRNA from 1 species